rnacentral:rRNA from 1 species
UACGUAGGGUGCAAGCGUUAAUCGGAAUUACUGGGCGUAAAGCGUGCGCAGGCGGUGAUGUAAGACAGAUGUGAAAUCCCCGGGCUCAACCUGGGAACUGCAUUUGUGACUGCAUCGCUGGAGUGCGGCAGAGGGGGAUGGAACUCCGCGUGUAGCAGUGAAAUGCGUAGAUAUGCGGAGGAACACCGAUGGCGAAGGCAAUCCCCUGGGCCUGCACUGGCGCUCAUGCACGAAAGCGUGGGGAGCAAACAGG